GACGAACGCUGGCGGCGUGCCUAACACAUGCAAGUCGAGCGAUGAAGUUCCUUCGGGAACGGAUUAGCGGCGGACGGGUGAGUAACACGUGGGCAACCUGCCUUAUAGAGGGGAAUAGCCUUCCGAAAGGAAGAUUAAUACCGCAUAAGAUUGUAGCUUCGCAUGAAGCAGCAAUUAAAGGAGCAAUCCGCUAUAAGAUGGGCCCGCGGCGCAUUAGCUAGUUGGUGAGGUAACGGCUCACCAAGGCGACGAUGCGUAGCCGACCUGAGAGGGUGAUCGGCCACAUUGGGACUGAGACACGGCCCAGACUCCUACGGGAGGCAGCAGUGGGGAAUAUUGCACAAUGGGCGCAAGCCUGAUGCAGCCAUGCCGCGUGUAUGAAGAAGGCCUUCGGGUUGUAAAGUACUUUCAGCGGGGAGGAAGGGAGUAAAGUUAAUACCUUUGCUCAUUGACGUUACCCGCAGAAGAAGCACCGGCUA
rnacentral:rRNA from 1 species